AAAAUCUUUUAUGGUUAAGAAUUGCAAAGUGAUUUCUUAGGAAAUUCCGAGGUUGCGUUUUUUUUAUACACCCUGUAUAUGUGAACCAGGCUUAACGCGACAAUGUUUUGCAAGUCCAGUGGCGUAGCGCUCAUUGGGUAGGGUUAGUUCAAAAACUAAGGGGCCCCGACAGUUAGGGGCCCCAUCACCCACGGCCUAUCGCCCUGAAAAUUAGAAAAUGUAAAAAAUGCAGGUUAAGAAUCAAUGGGAAAUGCAAAAUUAAUAUAAAUGCUAAAUAAAUAAAGCCUCCAUCGUCAACG